rnacentral:rRNA from 1 species
GCCGUCCGAAUUGUAGUCUGGAGAAGGUCCUCAGCGGCGGACCGGGCCCAAGUCCCCUGGAAGGGGCGCCUGGGAGGGUGAGAGCCCCGUCCGGCCCGGACCCUGUCGCCCCACGAGGCGCUGUCAGCGAGUCGGGUUGUUUGGGAA